rnacentral:rRNA from 1 species
CGAGUGAAGCGGCAGCAGCUCACAUUUGAAAUCUGGCCCCCCCGCCCCGGGGGGGCCCGAGUUGUAACCUGCAGAGGAUGCUUCAGGCGAGGUGCCCUCCGAGUCCCCUGGAAUGGGGCGCCGUAGAGGGUGAGAGCCCCGUACGGUUGGCGGCCGAGCCUCUGUGAAGCUCCUUCGACGAGUCGAGUAGUUUGGGAAUGCGCUCUAAAUGGGAGGUAUACGCCUUCUAAAGCUAAAUACCGGCCAGAGACCGAUAGCGCACAAGUAGAGUGAUCGAAAGAUGAAAAGCACUUUGGAAAGAGGGUUAAACAGUACGUGAAAUUGUUGAAAGGGAAGCGCUUGUGACCAGACUUGGGCCCCGGCUGAUCAUCCACCGCCCCCCCCGGCGGUGGUGCACUCAGCCUGGCCCAGGCCAGCAUCGGCCCGGCGCCCGGGGGAGAAAGGCUUCUGGGAACGUGGCUCCCCUACGGGGGAGUGUUACAGCCCGCUGCGCAAUGCCCCGGGCCGGGCUGAGGUAGGCGCGUCCGCGAGGAUGCUGGCGUAAUGGUCACCAGCGACCCGUCUUGAAACACGGACCAAGGAGUCGUCUUCGUAUGCGAGUGUUCGGGCGUCAAACCCCCUACGCGGAAUGAAAGUGAACGCAGGAGGGAGCCCCGCAGGGGGCGCACCUCCGACCGAUCCUGAUGUCCUCGGAUGGAUUUGAGUAGGAGCAUACGGGGCCGGACCCGAAAGAAGGUGAACUAUGCCUGUAUAGGGUGAAGCCAGAGGAAACUCUGGUGGAGGCUCGCAGCGGUUCUGACGUGCAAAUCGAUCGUCAAAUAUGGGCAUGGGGGCGAAAGACUAAUCGAACCUUCUAGUAGCUGGUUUCCGCCGAAGUUUCCCUCAGGAUAGCAGUGCUGAGCUCAGUUUUAUGAGGUAAAGCGAAUGAUUAGGGACCCGGGGGCGCUCUACAGCCUUCAUCCAUUCUCAAACUUUAAAUAUGUAAGAAGCCCUUGUUGCUUAGCUGAACGUGGGCAUUCGAAUGUAUCAGCACUAGUGGGCCAUUUUUGGUAAGCAGAACUGGCGAUGCGGGAUGAACCGAACGCGAGGUUAAGGUGCCGGAGUGGACGCUCAUCAGAACCACAAAAGGUGUUAGUACUCUUGACAGCAGGACGGUGACCAUGGAAGUCGGGAUCCGCCAAGGACUGUGUAACAACUCACCUGCCGAAUGUACUAGCCCUGAAAAUGGAUGGCGCUCAAGCGUCCCACCCAUACCUCGCCCUCAGGGCAGGAGCCAGGCCCUGAGGAGUAGGCGGACGUAGGGGUCGUGACGAAGCCUCAGGGCGGAGCCCAGUCAACGACUCC